AUGGAGAGUUUGAUCCUGGCUCAGGACGAACGCUGGCGGCAUGCCUCAUACAUGCAAGUCGAACGCCCCGCAAGGGGAGUGGCGGACGGGUGAGUAACGCGUGGGAAUCUACCUUGGAUUGUGGGAUAACCUGGGGAAACUUGGGCUAAUACCGCAUAUUGCCGAGAGGUGAAAGAUUUAUCGAUCCAAGUUGAGCCUGCGUAUGAUUAGCUAGUUGGUAGGGUAACGGCCUACCAAGGCAACGAUCAUUAGCUGGUCUGAGAGGAUGAUCAGCCACAAUGGAACUG
rnacentral:rRNA from 1 species